UAAUGAUGUCUUACGGAAAUA
rnacentral:miRNA from 1 species